AUUGAACGCUGGCGGCAGGCCUAACACAUGCAAGUCGAGCGAGAAAGCCUUCGGGUGAGUACAGCGGCGGACGGGUGAGUAACGCGUAGGAAUCUACCUGGUAGUGGGGGACAACAUGGGGAAACCCAUGCUAAUACCGCAUACGCCCUAUGGGGGAAAGCGGGGGACCUUCGGGCCUCGCGCUAUCAGAUGAGCCUGCGUAGGAUUAGCUUGUUGGUGAGGUAAAGGCUCACCAAGGCGACGAUCCUUAGCUGGUCUGAGAGGAUGAUCAGCCACACUGGAACUGAGACACGGUCCAGACUCCUACGGGAGGCAGCAGUGGGGAAUAUUGCGCAAUGGGCGAAAGCCUGACGCAGCCAUGCCGCGUGUGUGAAGAAGGCCU
rnacentral:rRNA from 1 species